rnacentral:lncRNA from 1 species
GGGGGGGGGGGGGGGGGGGGGGGGGGGGGGGGGGGGGGGGGGGGGGGGGGGGGGGGGGGGGGGGGGGGGGGGGGGGGGGGGGGGGGGGGGGGGGGGGGGGGGGGGGGGGGGGGGGAUAAAAAAAAAAAAAAAAAAAGUCUCAAUCAAAGGGAUUUCAGUAUAACCAAGUCAUCCCAACAUGGAUUCCCUCACCAAGGGAAAAACAUCCAGUCACAGACAUCCCACCUAAAAAAGAACAACAAAUUUACUCCAGAGUCUGCAGCCUCAGUCACACAAACCUACCAGGGAAACAAAGAAAACUUUCCAGCAUCCCAAGGCUGGGAUGGAUAAAACCUGGCCAUUCCCCAGUGAGAGCUGGAGAGAGGCUUGGAAGAGUGCUGCCUGGGAGCCAGAACUGCCAUCCUGCCACCAUUUCA